rnacentral:rRNA from 1 species
UACGGGGGGGGCAAGCGUUGUUCGGAAUUACUGGGCGUAAAGGGCUCGUAGGUGGCCAACUAAGUCGGACGUGAAAUCCCUCAGCUUAACUGGGGAACUGCGUCCGAUACUGGAUGGCUUGAGUUUGGGAGAGGGAUGCGGAAUUCCAGGUGUAGCGGUGAAAUGCGUAGAUAUCUGGAGGAACACCGGUGGCGAAGGCGGCUGCCUGGCCCAAUACUGACACUCAGGUGCGACAGCGUGGGGAGCAAACAGG